CGAGAGAGUCGCGAUGACAGGAUGGCA
rnacentral:piRNA from 1 species